GGGCAGGUGGCUCAAUGGUAGAGCGCUUGCCUAGCAUGCACGAAGCCCUGGGUUCGAUUCCUCAGUCCC
rnacentral:tRNA from 1 species